rnacentral:rRNA from 1 species
UGGGGAAUAUUGCACAAUGGAGGGAACUCUGAUGCAGCGACGCCGCGUGAACGAAGAAGGCUUUCGAGUAGUAAAGUUCUUUUAUAUGGGAAGAUAAUGACGGUACCAUAAGAAAAAGCCCCGGCUAACUACGUGCCAGCAGCCGCGGUAAUACGUAGGGGGCUAGCGUUGUCCGGAAUCACUGGGCGUAAAGGGUUCGCAGGCGGAAAUGCAAGUCAGGUGUAAAAGGCAGUAGCUUAACUACUGUAAGCAUUUGAAACUGCAUAUCUUGAGAAGAGUAGAGGUAAGUGGAAUUUUUAGUGUAGCGGUGAAAUGCGUAGAUAUUAAAAAGAAUACCGGUGGCGAAGGCGACUUACUGGGCUCAUUCUGACGCUGAGGAACGAAAGCGUGGGUAGCAAACAGG